UACCUGGGAAAGGACCAAGAUAAUACUGAAUGCGGAUGAGGUGUGCGCAGCCUGAGAAAGCUACUGCUGUCAUUGAGGCGCACGCACGAAGAAAGGGACCCGGCAAAGCUUACGGCAUGGAGAACCUUGAAGCGACAGCAAAAGCAGCCGACAACUCACAUGUACAAUAAGCUCCUAUUUGUGUUUAUGCUGGAGAAAGAUGGGGAUUUCUAUUCCCAUAAAGAGUUGCAGUCACAGAAACCCACCGGGCCGUUCUGCUCUGUCCUGGAGAGUCAUUGUGAAGACCAUUGACUCGAGGGGAGGAGUCUGGUUUUGGUUUUAGGCAUAUCCAUAAGUCUGUGUACGUGAGUAUAUACGUAGGUGUAUAUAGGAGAGGCCUGGAGAAGAACACCCGCUUGCCAAUGAAGAACGGCGGCAGAAAAGAGGACAACCUUCAACCUUUAAGGAAGUGACUUGAUACAGCGGCUGCUACAAGGGGCUCCAACACAGGAAUGCCUGUGAGGAUGGCUCCGUAUGACUCCCAGAGUGGGAAAGCAGGAGAAAGGAAAUGGACGCAGUUCUCUUCUGAGUUGUCCAAGGUGAUGGCUAGAGGAAUUAAGUAGUAAAUCAGUAAGCUGAAAGCAGACCAGACUCAAUUGCCAUGCUCAUGUGAGUUUAAUCUGUUCUGAUGUAAUUUUCAUUAAAGAAAACUUUGAGAGGUGAAAGGUCUCUCACAGAACCACCAAGGAUAAUGGAUUUCUAAUAUUGGUAUUUUUUUAGUAAGAAACUAUAAGGAUACUAAAAUUGAAAAAUAUUAAAUAAACAUUUAAAUUCAGGUUCUAUAACCUGCUUUAUGUACACUCAUCUAUUUCUCACAAUAAUUCUUCAAGGUAGAUAUUAUUAUAAGACACAUGUAGACAUUGCCAUCAACAUGGGUAAUUUAUUUAAGACAUGUUAAGCUUAUGUUUUAAUAGAUCCUGUCAUCUCAUUUGAAUACUAAGCUUAAUAAUGUUUGUUUUUGUUUCAGUAUUAGUAAUUUAAAACUUGGUAUUUUGAAUAUAUAAACAUUAAUGCUUGUAAUAGACAUGAGUAUAAUAAAAGAUGUGGCUGUUUCUAAAUUU